GGGGAUUUAGCUCAGUGGUUGAGCGCUUGCCUAGGAAGCGCAAGGCCCUGGGUUCGAUCCCCAGCUCCG
rnacentral:tRNA from 1 species